rnacentral:sRNA from 1 species
GCGAGACAGAUGAGCCCGUGGCCGAGCGCGACCGAUAAACUGUUACCGGACGGCGCCGGGCGCAGCUCCCGAGCCGUCCGACCAUGAUCAGCCAGCAGCCGCUGCAACCCCAGGGAG